GGGGGGAUAUCUCAGUGGUAGAGCGCCUGCCUGCUUAGUUAGCAUGCAUGAGGUCCUGGGUUCAAUCCCCAGUAACUCCU
rnacentral:tRNA from 1 species